rnacentral:tRNA from 1 species
GCCCUCGUAGCUCAGCUGGAUAGAGCAACGGUUUCCUAAACCGUAGGCCGUGCGUUCAAAUCGCGCCGAGGGCACCA